GGGCCCAUAGCUCAGGCUGGUAGAGCGACUGGCUCUUAACCAGUAGGUCGGGGGUUCAAAUGCUCUCGCGAGCAUUUUCUCGCAGAGCUCGAAAAUCCCCUUGGGCCCG
rnacentral:tRNA from 2 species